AUAUUUCUCUUCGUUUUUUUAUUUUGAGUUUUCAAGCAUUCGAUUCUCUUCGAGAAGCUGAGAGGUUGAUUUCUUUUCGGAUCAACUGAAAUUCUCUAUAGAUUUCAUUCUAAUCGUGUUUCUUUUUCACCCGGAAGGAGCUUUAAAAUUUUAGAGGUGAUUUUAAUGUUUGUUCUUUGUUUUUCUUUCUUCCGAUUUUAGAUCUGGUUUCAGAUUUCAAGUGAUUGUUUAGAUUCGGAUUUAAUACGGAGAUUUUAUGGUUCUAUUUUUCUGGAUAAUUGGAGACGCAGUGAUUCUUCAGGAAACAAGAGGAGGAGGAAGUUUUAAGUGAGCGUUGUUCGUUCCAAUGUCAUCCUGCAGCAGUUGAUUCUGUUCAGGAGCUACUGUGAAGUGGAUGUGGGAAAAUGGUGAUUCAAGACUUGAGUGUUGGCUUCUGUGAACUGGUGCACUGGAAAAUCUGCACGACAGGCUUCUGCUGCAAAACUGUAUUUAUUCUCUAUCUAUGGUGCAGUUCUGUUUAGUCCGAAAUCUCGGGAUAGGCUUCGUGUCCGUGUUUACACUACCUAUUCAUUUGAUUCCCGUUAACAUAAGUGCAUCAAGGGAUUGGAGAUGGUUGCAAGUGGGUGAAUUGGCUGACUGCAAUCAGUUGAAGAAGAAAAUAUAUGGAGUUUGUCAUCAACUAAAUUCAUGGAUUUUUGUGCUCGGAUUCAAAUUAAGUUUUGUAUAGAAUUCAGCCUACACGAAAGGUGAAAAUGUUGUUGGUUGUUGAGAAAUGGGAAAAGUGUUUAUGUUGUUUGGUUUGUAUGGGAGUUAUUGAAACAUGAAAGAAGAUGAUGAUGUUGUUAUGACUGCA